GAAUUUAAACCUCUUCCAGAGUAUCAAUUGGAGGGCAAGUCUGGUGCCAGCAGCCGCGGUAAUUCCAGCUCCAAUAGCGUAUAUUAAAAUUGUUGCAGUUAAAAAGCUCGUAGUUGAAUUUCUGCUGCAUUGCUUUUGCUCCUUUACGAGUCUUUGCAUUGUGGCUUAUUUCGGACUUUGUUUUACAAUGUCCGGAUGUUUACUUUGAGAAAAUUAGAGUGCUCAAAGCAGGCUUUCGCCUUGAAUAGUUUAGCAUGGAAUAAUAAAGUAGGACUUUGGUUCUAUUUUGUUGGUUUUAGGUACCAAAGUAAUGGUUAAUAGGAACAGUU
rnacentral:rRNA from 1 species